GCCAAAGUGAUGGAAUUGGUAGACAUGACAGAUUCAAAAUCUGUUGCCUUAGGGCGUGCGGGUUCGAUUCCCGCCUUUGGUACAA
rnacentral:tRNA from 1 species